GAUCAAGGAAUAGAAGAAGCGAGAGGUAAAACAACCCAAAAUUGGUCUCCUCCAGCAAGGGGCGUACAUGACCCAUCAAGUUAGCCUGGUGUGUCUGACGGUGAUUACGGCUAUCGUAUAAUAAUGCUCAAAUAUUUGUAUCUGGAAUUUGUCUUUCAGCAUCAGUAGAACACACUCGACUCUCCUCCACCAGUCAUACAUGGAGAAUGGUCUAAUGCCUCCCAUCGAAAAGAGAGCUGGCCCAAGCAAGCAUGAGGACUUGCAGCGAGUUGUGAACUUAAUCAACAACUACACAGAGGAUAAUGCAAUAAUAUUACCAGGACACAAACACUUCGGUGGAAAGCUGCUGCCAUCCCAUGUGACAAUAGCAGCGAUGUGACAUCUCUACAAGGAAUCGAUGACAUCACUUGAGGCUCCACCACAGUCUGGACCUUCACUUCCUGAUCACAGGCCACACCUGGCUUCAGCCUCAUCAAGCAGCGCAGAGUGAUGUUGUGAAACGGCACUGUGACAGGGGUCAUCACAUGCCCUGCACCAAAGUCAAGGGCAGGGCAGAAACAGGCUCUCCGAAUAUAGAUUCCCUUGUUCCAUGUGUGGUUCGGAUGGAUCUGUCAUCAGCACUAUCUGCAGUGCCUCUAUUCAUAUGACUCUCCUAACAUACGUUGCUACUACUAUUUAUUUUUUUAUCCUGCUGCUCAGCCACUUCACCCCUGAUGGUAUGCAUAUAACUAUAUAACCUGAUAUCGUCAUUGAUAUUGUUCUUUGUACGUACUGUAUAUUAUUUUCUAUAUAUUGACACCAUAUAUAUCUGAUGUUGCUACUAUGCAAGUAACCAUUUGGCUGUAUCGUUUACACCACCUGUAGAGACCCAUCCACUUAGCAAGAUGUGGCUGGGGGUUAUAGCAUUUCUUUCACAUGACCCAUCAAGUUAGACAAGUAUGUCUGGGUAAGCGUCAUCUAAUAUUUAUAAAAUAUUUUUUUAUCUGGA